UACGGGGGGGCAAGCGUUGUUCGGAAUUACUGGCGUAAAGGGCUCGUAGGCGGCCAACUAAGUCAGACGUGAAAUCCCUCGGCUUAACCGGGGAACUGCGUCUGAUACUGGAUGGCUUGAGUUUGGGAGAGGGAUGCGGAAUUCCAGGUGUAGCGGUGAAAUGCGUAGAUAUCGGAGGAACACCGGUGGCGAAGGCGGCAUCCUGGACCAACACUGACGCUGAGUGAGCGAAAGCCAGGGGAGCAAACGGGG
rnacentral:rRNA from 1 species